rnacentral:rRNA from 1 species
CGUCCUAAGGGAGGCUGCAGUGGGGAAUAUUGCACAAUGGGGGAAACCCUGAUGCAGCCAUGCCGCGUGUGUGAAGAAGGCCUUCGGGUUGUAAAGCACUUUCAGCGAGGAGGAAAGGUCAGUAGCUAAUAUCUGCUGGCUGUGACGUUACUCGCAGAAGAAGCACCGGCUAACUCCGUGCCAGCAGCCGCGGUAAUACGGAGGGUGCAAGCGUUAAUCGGAAUUACUGGGCGUAAAGCGCACGCAGGCGGUUGGAUAAGUUAGAUGUGAAAGCCCCGGGCUCAACCUGGGAAUUGCAUUUAAAACUGUCCAGCUAGAGUCGUGUAGAGGGGGGUAGAAUUCCAGGUGUAGCGGUGAGAUGCGUAGAGAUCUGGAGGAAUACCGGUGGCGAAGGCGGCCCCCUGGACAAAGACUGACGCUCAGGUGCGAAAGCGUGGGGAGCAAACAGGAUUAGAUACCCGGGUAGUC